UCGAGACGUCUGAUGUUUCACCUUAAGUAUAUCUACACUACAGCAAGAGUAUUUAGACAUGAGGCCAAAGAAGUAACCUCUGCCUACCUACUUCUGCUCUGCACUCAUCAACCUUGGAAAAGAAGAGGUGGAGCAGGUUAGUGAAGAACCAGCUAGCUACAUCCAGUGAGUGACACCCUGGAGGCAAGAGAAUAUGGGACCUGUUCUCCAUCUCUUGCAUUGGCACCACUAGCUCCUAUCAAACCCACUGGGAAAGAUAAUGGAUACAGCACAGGGAAUAAAGAGGCAUUGAAUCCAUCACCCC